UACGGGGGGGGCAAGCGUUGUUCGGAAUUACUGGGCGUAAAGGGUUUGUAGGUGGCUUGUUAAGUCAGACGUGAAAUCCCUCAGCUUAACUGGGGAACUGCGUCUGAUACUGGCGAGCUUGAGUGCAGGAGAGGAACGCGGAAUUCCAGGUGUAGCGGUGAAAUGCGUAGAUAUCAGGAGGAACACCGGCGGCGAAGGCGGCCCUCUGGAUCGUUGCUGACGCUGAUACGCGAAAGCGUGGGGAGCAAACAGG
rnacentral:rRNA from 1 species